rnacentral:rRNA from 1 species
UCGAGGAUCUUCGGCAAUGGGCGCAAGCCUGACCGAGCGACGCCGCGUGUGCGAUGAAGGCCUUCGGGUUGUAAAGCACUGUCGAGGGGGAGGAAGCCCCGCAAGGGGUUGACCUAUCCCUGGAGGAAGCACGGGCUAAGUUCGUGCCAGCAGCCGCGGUAAGACGAACCGUGCGAACGUUGUUCGGAUUCACUGGGCUUAAAGGGCGCGUAGGCGGGCCGGACAGUCUGUGGUGAAAGCCCCCAGCUCAACUGGGGAAGUGCCGUGGAUACUGCCGGUCUGGAGGAGGGUAGGGGCGUCUGGAACGCUGGGUGGAGCGGUGAAAUGCGUUGAUAUCCAGCGGAACUCCGGUGGCGAAGGCGAGGCGCUGGACCCUUUCUGACGCUGAGGCGCGAAAGCCAGGGGAGCAAACGGGAUUAGAUACCCCCGUAGUCC